UUUUUUAGCGGCGGUUUCUAAAACCGCCGCAAAAAAUGAAAUUUUGCGGCGGUUUUCAAACCGCUGCAAAAUACUAUUUUAGCGGCGGUUUUUUUUACAUUUUGCGGCGGUUUUCAAAAAAUCGUCGCUAAAUUUAGAAAUAAUUAAAUAAU